rnacentral:rRNA from 1 species
UACGUAGGUGGCAAGCGUUGUCCGGAUUUACUGGGCGUAAAGAGCGCGCAGGCGGUCGUUCAAGUCGCGUGUGAAAGCCCUCGGCUCAACUGGGGAAUUGCAUUGGAAACUAGCUGGCUGGAGUACUGGAGAGGGAAGCGGAAUUCCUGGUGUAGCGGUGAAAUGCGUAGAUACCAGGAGGAACACCGAUGGCGAAGGCAGGUCUCUGGGCCACUACUGACGCUGAGAAGCGAAAGCAUGGGGAGCGAACAGG